rnacentral:lncRNA from 1 species
AAUCGUUAGAAGAAAUGGGAUGAAAAUGUUCAUUAAAGGUGAUGAGGAAAUUUGGAUGAGACGGAAAACCACCCUGAUAAGAAGGGACCGAAUCAAAAGCAUCAAAGGUAGGGCAGCCGCUCCCUGCAAGGUUGCAGCUGGAAGGAGCCUGUUCAGAAUGCAUUUAUGCUUUGUUUAUCGGAUGUCUCUCUAUACCUUCUGCCUGAUGAAAAAUGAUGGAGGUGAUGCAAUUGUGGGAAGCGGAGGAAAUGAAUUUAAGAUGAAUAUUUGGACAGUUCCGGUUCAGAAAAGAUGAUCGACAAAAGACCAAAAGGAUUCUGGCUACUUUGGAUUGUGUGAGUAUCUUAGGUUCUUGGCU